rnacentral:lncRNA from 1 species
CUCUGGGAAAGUUGCUUAGCACCUCUGAGCCUCUACUCCCCCAUCUGUAAAAUGGGUAUGGCAGAUGGUAUUUUGUUUCUUGCCCUCUCAGCAUCCAUUUCCUAUUUUUCUGAUGACAUACUUUGAUUUUCCUUCAGGUAGGAGUUUUCAGAACAGCAGCCUCAGCAUCACCUGGGAAGUUGUUAGCAAUGCAGAUUCUCAGGCCAGUCUCAGACCUUUGAUUCAGAAGCUUUGGAAUGGCAGCCUGGCAAGGCGUGACACCCCCAACGACUGCAUAAUGUGAGACUGCAAAGUCCUGGCCAUCUCAGGCCAUCUUGUGACAUCUCUGAAGAGCCAUUUCAACUGCAGAGCUCCCGCAGAAUUGACUGAAGCUGCUGCUGGGUCUCAGCUCCAGUUCUCCCUCUGCCCGCUCCUGUGUACUCUGCCCUCUCCUGUGUCCUCUGCCAUCUCCUGUGUCCUCCAUGCUGUGGAUGUUGAUCCCAAGGGCAGCUCAACUGUAUCUGAGUCUGCUUCCUGGGGAUCCUGACCAGUGACAAUACUCACAGCAACUCCACCAUGCAGCACCACUGUGAGUCCAUUUUACAGAUGAGGACACUGAGGCUCAGAGAGGUACAAGGAGGGGAUCCUAGGCCAUGCACCUGGUAAACAAGGAGACAUGGGCUGGGAAGCCAGCACAUUUGUGAAUAGAGAAGUGGCAUGUUCUGGCUUUAAAAGGGUCCCCUGGGCUGCUGAGUAAGGAAGAACGGAAGGGGCCAGGACAAGGGCCUCCCAGGCCGCGGCUGGACCUUGUCAUCCCUGCAGCUUCUUCAGAAGAGCCAGACGCAGCCCAUGUGCUCACUAAGUACCCAGUGAAGGAGUGAGUGAAGAGAGAAUGGAUGAAAACAUUAAGACUGGAAGGAACUAGACAUCCUCACGUCCGUCUCCCUCAUUACAUGGUGCAUAAUUAGCACAGUGCCUGCUACACUUAGGUGCUCAGCUAAGGUGGCGUUGAGUGAAUAAAUGAACACGUUCAAGGAAAGGAGGGAGGGAGAGAGGGGCAUGGACUUGGGAAGAAAAGAUGGAAGUAGAGGAAGGAGAAGGGGAGAAAAGAAAGGGAGGAAGAAAGAGGGGAAGGAGGGAGGAGGGAGGAGGAAGAGAAGAGAGAAAGUGAAGGGAGGUUUACCUGUUCGCACCAAGAAUGACAGUAACUUACGACCCCUGGUGGCAGAAAAGUGCACAGUCCAUUGAAAUUGCGGUGCCUAGAAUUAAAGGACGCAAGGGAAGACUCCUAGUUCCCCAAGAGGUUCAGGCUGCAUUCAUUUGUUUUCUAUUGCUUUUAACAGAAUACUUAAAACUGGGUAAUUUAUAAAGAAAAGGAGUUUAUUUCUUACUGUUAUGGAGGAAUACAAGGUCGAGGGGGCACAUCUGGUGGGGGCACAGCCUUCUUGAAGGUGGGGACUCUACAGAGACCUGAGGCGGCACAUGGCAUCAUGUGACAAGGGGGCUGGGUGUGCUAGCUCAGGUCUCUCUUCCUCUUAUAAAGCCACCAGUCCUGCUCUCAUAAUAACCCAUUAAUCUAUUAGUCCACACGUGGAUUAAUCAAUUCAUGAGGGCAGAGGCCUUAGGAUCCAAUCACCUCUUAAAGGCCCCAUCUUUCAAUACUGCUAAGUUGGGCAUUCAGUUUCCAACACAUGAAAUACGGGGAACACAUUCAAACCACAGCAGGUGCAGACCCUUGUAAGAACAUGGGCUCCUCCAUCAGGGCUCUGGCAGUCAGUGACAGCUGGGUUAGGACUAGGGUGAAGCAAGUGAGGCACAAAUUUAAGGAGGCAUCCAAAAACUCAAUAAUCCAAAAAAUAUCUUAAUGGGAUGGUUUUAAAAAUCAAAUUGGCAAACUAUCGCCCACGGGCCGACUGUCUGAUUUGUAAAUAAAGUUUUAUUGGAACCAGGGUCAGGAAUAUGGUGGAUUCUUGCAGUUAAAUCAGAGAUUAUGCCCUGCAUGCCUUCGCUAAUGUAGAUGUUCCCAACCCCUAAGGUAGCACGUGGUGUGGGCGUGGUCAGCUCAGCUCAUCCAACAAUAAGAACACAGCUUGUUUGGAGCACUCACUAUGCCAGCUUUAAAGCAACUCUACUCUGGAACUACCUCUCUUGGCCCCAUGGACUGGCCACAAAAGCACUUUUAAAUGUUCCAGGAAUGUGGGCCUGUGUCAAGUGUUGGUCGCAUCUCGGUGUCAUAUCACAUUUCCCUGGUUCUGCCAUUUACUAACUGAGUGGCCUGGGGCAGGACUUAAUUUCUCUGUGUCUCAUUUGCUUCUUCUGUAAAAUGGGUUAAUGCAUGGAAAGAACGUAACUCUAUAAAGUCAGCUGCUGUUGUUAAAAGCAUGGGUCUGAAUCCCAGCUCUGUCACUUAUUGUGACCCUAGGACAUAUUUCCUAUUGCCCAGUGUUUCCUCCACCAUAAAAUGGAGAUUAUAAUCCUCAUCUGGUUGGGUUUAGCUGGGGAUUCACACAAAACUGCUAGUGCUGUUGGCUCAGCACUGCAAAGCACCUGCAGCUCCCCGGUGGACGUCAAGGGAUCUGAAAGUGCAGAGGGUUCCUUAGCCCUUUGUGAGAGGAACUAGGAAAGGAAUCCACUGUUCACCUAGGAACAUUUGUUAACCCUUUAUUUCCCACUGUGGGCCAAGGGCUAAGUGUGCAGAUGGACGAUUCUCCUCCUGGGGGCAUUUGUGACGUUUCUCCAGUCUCCAAUAUCUGCCACUCUCCCUCUUGAUACUUGCAAAGAUCAUUACUGCUUCCUGACAGCUGCGGCUACCCCCACUGCUACUGGCCACUGAUACCGGAGAUAGAAAUUAUUUAGGCAGAUAUUCAGGGCAAAAGAGUCCUCGGCGGAAUUUCCCUUCUAACAAAAAAGCAGCCCCAGAAAUCAUUUCUUUUCUAACAAAGAGCAGCCUGAAAAAUCCAGCUGCAAACAUAGAUAAGGAAGCUGGAAGCUUGCACGGGGGAAUGCUGGUAGCUGUGCCAAUAGAGAAGGGCUAACUGGGGGCCAGGCAUGUCUAACACGAGGCUCCAUCUUCCCUUUUCUUUUACCACGUGUACAGUAAUAAAGAAAUGGGCAACAUGGCACAGCUCAGGCAGAGAACUCGCCUGCAUAAUAAAAGACUGGGGUGGGGGUGCCGAGAUUCAUACCCUGUGCCAAUGGCACACCUGGGUCCAACCAGUUUUUCACACCCUAUGUAGAUCAGACAGCACCUCCUCACCAGCUCAUCUAUAAAACUCCCUUGCAUUUCACUGCAGAUCCAGCAACCCAUUUUUCCAGGACCCCUCUUGUAGCAGAGCGCUAUUCUCUUUCUUUCAACUAUUAAAUUUCUGCUCUUCACCUCACUCUUUGUGGGUCCCUGUCCUUGAUCUCCGUGACCAUGAGACAACGAGCCUCGGGUGUUACCCCCAGACAAGCCUGCUUCUCCACCGCGUUCCCUGCCUCAGUGGCUGCCAGGUCCUGUGCCAAGCAGUUGGAGCAUGCUCGCCACAGCUUCCACCCUGGCUACUGUUUUUACUGGACCAGCUGGUUUCGGUCGCCUUUUCACUUCCAGGUUUCUUGCUUCCACUCUUGCCCUCUAUGGUUUUCUGCCAGCAACCAAUGCAACCCUUUCAAAACAAUCAGGUAUCACCCUGUUAAAAACCCUGAGUCCCAUUAAGAACAAAACCCAACCUUGUAACAGGGCCCUGCAGGAUCCGGCCCCGCCUCUCCCAUCUCAUGUUCUGCUCCUCCCCCUUGCUCACUAAUGCCGGCCACACCAGCCUUGCUGUCGGGGAUGUUUCUUCUUCGCCAACUUCGCACGCCACAGCCUGCCUGGGAUAUACUCUCUUCAUCUCCUGUGUUUCUGGUUUUCCUUCACAUCUUCACUCAUCACUGUCUGAAACUGUCUUAUGUUCCCCAGGAAAGUAAGCUUCAUGUUCCCCUCUAUUAGAUCUCCAGUGCCCGGCGCAUAGUGAGUACUAGUGUAUUAGUCCGUUCUCACACUGCUGAUAAAGACAUACCCGAGACCGGGUAAUUUAUAAAGGAAAAG